rnacentral:sRNA from 1 species
AAGACAUCUAUCUUGCUGUGUUUGGACAGGCCCAGCCCCUGAAACAUCUUGGGCAAUGGAGGGUUAACUUCUCAAAGUUUAAUAGGCAAGACCAGCAACCAUGCAACAAGGACUUCAACUAACCAACUAAAGAACUGUUCCCCAGAGCAUUGUUCCUGAGGAGGAAAAGAGCCCAAACACCCACCCACACCUGCUUUGUGCCAAGAAUCCACAGUUGGAUUGCAAGGACAGUGUAUGUUGUCCUUUUGGAAAAAAUGAGAGUGAGCCCAAAUGAAGAGCAAGCAAAGGUGUUCAAGACCCAGCUGCUGAGAGUAGAAAAGCAGAAGAAAGGACCCGAGGUCAGCAAGUGCUCUCCCCACAAUGGGGCAGAUCUGCCAGCGAGAAUCGGCUACAGCAGCUGAAAAACCAAAACUUCAUCUACUUGCUGAAAGUGAGAUUGACAAGUAUCUCUA